rnacentral:rRNA from 1 species
UUUGAUCCUGGCUCAGAUUGAACGCUGGCGGCAGGCCUAACACAUGCAAGUCGAGCGGUAGCACAGGGAGCUUGCUCCUGGGUGACGAGCGGCGGACGGGUGAGUAAUGUCUGGGAAACUGCCUGAUGGAGGGGGAUAACUACUGGAAACGGUAGCUAAUACCGCAUAACGUCUACGGACCAAAGUGGGGGACCUUCGGGCCUCAUGCCAUCAGAUGUGCCCAGAUGGGAUUAGCUAGUAGGUGGGGUAAUGGCUCACCUAGGCGACGAUCCCUAGCUGGUCUGAGAGGAUGACCAGCCACACUGGAACUGAGACACGGUCCAGACUCCUACGGGAGGCAGCAGUGGGGAAUAUUGCACAAUGGGCGCAAGCCUGAUGCAGCCAUGCCGCGUGUGUGAAGAAGGCCUUCGGGUUGUAAAGCACUUUCAGCGAGGAGGAAGGGU